AAAAAGCAAUUGCGCCAAAAGUAUUUGAAAUUUGGAACAAAACAAAGAAAAAUGGCUUCAGGAGGUUCACUUUUGGGGUUAAAAUGUUGAAACGGGUUUAAUUGGACAAAAAAUGCAAACGUUAGCGCAAAUGUAUGUAUUUGGGCCACUUAGUGUUGAAAUAAGGUCACUUCCGGUUUGAAUCGGGUCAUUUCCGGUUUAUUUGGGGCACUUCCGGUUUAAAUUAGGUCACUUCCGGUUUAGCCGAGGUCACUUUCGGUUUAGCCGAGGUCACUUCCGGUUUAUUUGGGGACACUUCCGGUUUAAAAAGGUCGCUUCCGGUUCAUUUAGGGUCACUUCCGGUUUAAUUUUGGGUCACUUCCGGUUUACCUGAGGUCACUUCCGGUCUAUUUGGGGUCACUUCCGGUUUGAUAUGGGGCACUUCCGGUUCAUUCUGGGUUCAUUGGGGGCACUUCAGGGUCAAUCCAAGAUGGCCGCCACACUGGAAUUGGGGGUCAAGGGUUGAAUUGUAGAAGCAUAGUGGAAGUGGGGGUGAAUGGGAGUGAAUAUGGUAAGCAAAAGAUGA